GGACACGCCUAGCCUACACAUGCAGUCGAGCGGAACGAUCCUAGCUUGCUAGGAGGCGUCGAGCGGCGGACGGGUGAGUAACGCAUAGGAAUCUACCCGGUAGUGGGGGAUAACCUGGGGAAACCCAGGCUAAUACCGCAUACGUCCUACGGGAGAAAGCAGGGGCUCUUCGGACCUUGCGCUAUCGGAUGAGCCUAUGUCGGAUUAGCUGGUUGGUGAGGUAACGGCUCACCAAGGCGACGAUCCGUAGCUGGUCUGAGAGGAUGAUCAGCCACAUCGGGACUGAGACACGGCCCGAACUCCUACGGGAGGCAGCAGUGGGGAAUAUUGGACAAUGGGCGAAAGCCUGAUCCAGCCAUGCCGCGUGUGUGAAGAAGGCCCUCGGGUUGUAAAGCACUUUCAGUGAGGAAGAACGCCUGUCGGCUAAUACCCGGCAGGGGAGACAUCACUCACAGAAGAAGCACCGGCUAACUCCGUGCCAGCAGCCGCGGUAAUACGGAGGGUGCGAGCGUUAAUCGGAAUUACUGGGCGUAAAGCGCGCGUAGGCGGCGUGAUAAGCCGGUUGUGAAAGCCCCGGGCUCAACCUGGGAAUGGCAUCCG
rnacentral:rRNA from 1 species